rnacentral:rRNA from 1 species
GACGAACGCUGGCGGCGUGCUUAACACAUGCAAGUCGAACGGAAAGGCCCUGCUUUUGUGGGGUGCUCGAGUGGCGAGAGGGUGAAAAACACGUGAGUCACCUGCCCUUGACUUCGGGAUCUCUUCAGGAAACUGGGGAUAAUAGCGCAUAGGAGCUCUUGCUGCAUGGGGGGGGUUGGAAAGUUUAGGCGGUUGGGGAUGGACUCGCGGCUUAUCAGGUUGUUGGUGGGGUAGUGGCUUACCAAGGCGUCGACGGGUAGCCGGCCGGAGAGGUUGACCGGCCACACGGGGACGGCGAUUCGGCCCGGCCGCCGACGGGAGGCAGCAGUGGUGAAUAUUGCACAAUGGGCGGAAGCCUGAGGCAGCAACGCCGGGUGCGGGAUGGUGGCCUUCUUUUGGUAAACCGCUUUCGCCUGGGAUGAAGCGGGAGUGACGGUAAUGGGUAAAGAAGCACCGGCUAACUACGUG